rnacentral:rRNA from 1 species
UAAUACGGAGGGUGCAAGCGUUAUCCGGAUUCACUGGGUUUAAAGGGUGCGUAGGCGGACUUUUAAGUCAGUGGUGAAAUCCUGCAGCUUAACUGCAGAACUGCCAUUGAUACUAUUAGUCUUGAAUGUCGUGGAGGUCAGCGGAAUAUGUCAUGUAGCGGUGAAAUGCUUAGAUAUGACAUAGAACACCUAUUGCGAAGGCAGCUGACUACGCGAAUAUUGACGCUGAGGCACGAAAGCGUGGGGAUCAAACAGGAUUAGAUACCCUGGUAGUCCACGCCCUAAACGAUGAUUACUCGACAUUAGCGAUACACUGUUAGUGUCUGAGCGAAAGCAUUAAGUAAUCCACCUGGGAAGUACGACCGCAAGGUUG